rnacentral:siRNA from 1 species
UCAGAUAGUAUUUCAGAGAUGG